UCGCACACGUGAACUUGCGUAUUUUUUAAACAAAAUGUUUUAAGAAAAUUGUUUGGCAUUUAAUGGUUGGCUUUGUUUACGGUGUGCAGAGGCUUGCCCGUUUCUCAAUGAGAGAGAACACACGAGCCCAAAGGAAGUUGCAGGGGCCGCCAAAACAAAUUUUUCUAGACCGCAGCUGGUAAAAACAUGGCCGCAAAACAAAACCCACGGAUUGAAGGCAACAUUUGGCGAGAUUGCAUGCAGUAUGGAUUCGAGCUACACAGUUGCCGAUUAGGAUUCCUGUUUGCAAAUGACAGACUGCCACAGGAGCAUAGACGGGUGGCGAUUAGGGUUCUAGUUUUGCCAUUAUUAAAUUUCAGAGGCUGCGGUUUUCUCAGUCAUCAUCUCGAGUCUGCUUCUCCACUCCCCCAUGCCCUUCUUUCCAGAUACUUUGGUGACCUCGGGCUUUCUCUGUGCAUCUAUUUCUCACGCACUUCCUUCAGUUCGAAUCUGGGACUUUGCCCAAAACGUUGAGAUAACACAGAGAUGAUGGCACUGUUGUUGCAGAGGCUAUGGCGAUGUGUAAUUAUAUAGCUCGAGGAGUCUUUUAUUUGAGAAAAAGAAGGGAAAACAUUCUCCCAGGCAAUCUGCAAGACAACGCAAGAAGACGAAAUGACACAAAUGCAGGUCUUUGAAUGCAGAAGAUGAAAACAAUCACAAAUCCUGCAGAGAAGCUCAGGACAGACAUAAAAGUCUACAAAGAAAUUGAAUCAGAAAAUGCAAAUGAAAUUAAACAGUUCACUACCAUUAUACUAGUUUUGUACAUAGUCAACUGACAAACAAUGCUCAGUACUGUUUUGUCAAGACAUGCAAUCAAUCAUUUCUUGCUUCGUUUUGUUGCUUAA